ensembl:ncRNA C04C11.6 ncRNA
UUGAGACCUGUGCAUAACAUAACUGCCAUCAAUUUGCAUUUAGUGCAGCUUAGAUUGAUUUGUACUUCUUCUCUCUCUUCUCUUUGACCACACGACAACACUCGACGGCGGUCG